UACGGAGGGUGCAAGCGUUAUUCGGAAUUACUGGGCGUAAAGCGCACGCAGGCGGCUGAGUCAGUCGAUUGUGAAAGCCCUGGGCUUAACCUGGGAAUUGCAGUCGAUACUACGCAGCUCGAGUAUGGGAGAGGUUAGUGGAAUUCCGAGUGUAGAGGUGAAAUUCGUAGAUAUUCGGAAGAACACCAGUGGCGAAGGCGACUAACUGGACAUGUAUUGACGCUGAGGUGCGAAAGCGUGGGGAGCAAACAGG
rnacentral:rRNA from 1 species